UUUGUCAAUCACAACAAAAUAGUCGAUGUCUCAAAAAUAGAUCGUCAAAAUUAAAAAGUAUUAUUAAUUCUCAUUCUUCAAAGAUGGGAUUGCAAUUAUCCAGUCUAGAUAUCAAAGGGUCAUUACUGAUGGUGAAUGGAGAAAAUUUAAUAGGAGAAUACCGAUGCAGCACUGGUAGAGAAAAAUAUAAUGAUUCAUAUCUAAAUAAUGGGGUGGAAGAAGUAGAAUAUAUAAGUGAAGAUUCCCCAGUGCUAGGAGCAGGUGAAGAAAUAUGAGAUAACGACUUUCAUCAACCAACGUUUCUAACAGCAUCCUCAAAAACCGAAGUCUCCUCCAACCAUGAAGUGCUUAAAACAAGGAGCAGGAGAACAGUGGUGUGCCACUAUGAUACUCAAAGAAUUGAAAAUAAAAAUCAUAAUUGGAAGCUUUCGUUGACGGUAAAUCAGGGGUUCAACGAAAAUUGGUCCAACAGUAGGAUGUGAGGAAAUAUGUGGUAACUUGGAAAGUGAAGAACGGAGUGUAGUGUAUGAGGGUAGAAAUUGGCAAUUUAUUAUCUGCCAGGGGAAGGGAGAAAUACCUGCAGAUGUUGUAACCCCUCUGUAAUAAAAAUAAUUUCGCUUAA